AAAAAAAAUUGUUACCUGGAUAUGUUGUUUUUUUAAAAAGUUGAAAAUUAAUAAAUAUAUAUUGAAAGCGAGGUAAGACUGCCAUCUAAUUACAGUACCAUCUGGUUCCAGAAGGAUCCUUUGAACUACAGAGACAAACCAAGGUGAAUCUCAAACCAGCUGAGGCAGAAUCUGCUACCUACCACCCAAUAUCCUUUCUUUGUUCCUGAUUAAAAACAAAAUAAAAACCUAUCUCUCCAAUAUAUAUCUCAAUUUUCUAAUUCUGGGAUAUACGUUCCAGAAAUGUAUUCAUAUAAGACUACAUUCCCUAGACUGCACGUGCAGCUAGAUGUGGUCAUGAGGCUAAGUUUUGGCCAGUGUUUCUUAAGUGUUGCUUGAGGAGAAUUCCACAAAGGUUUCUUAAAAGGCAGACAGAUAAUUAAGUAACGCAUUUUUAUGCUUCUCCUUUCUCCUUCUUCUUGCCUAGAAUAAACACGAUUU